UGGGGAAUAUUGCACAAUGGGGGCAACCCUGAUGCAGCCAUGCCGCGUGUGUGAAGAAGGCCUUCGGGUUGUAAAGCACUUUCAGCGAGGAGGAAAGGAUAUAAGCCAAUACCUUAUAUCUGUGACGUUACUCGCAGAAGAAGCACCGGCUAACUCCGUGCCAGCAGCCGCGGUAAUACGGAGGGUGCGAGCGUUAAUCGGAAUGACUGGGCGUAAAGCGCGCGUAGGCGGUGGGUUAAGCGAGAUGUGAAAGCCCGGGGCUCAACCCCGGAACCGCAUUUCGAACUGGCCGACUGGAGUACGAGAGAGGGUGGUAGAAUUUCCAGUGUAGCGGUGAAAUGCGUAGAGAUUGGAAGGAAUACCGGUGGCGAAGGCGGCCACCUGGCUCGAUACUGACGCUGAGGUGCGAAAGCGUGGGGAGCAAACAGGAUUAGAUACCCCCGUAGUCC
rnacentral:rRNA from 1 species